rnacentral:rRNA from 1 species
AUUGAACGCUGGCGGCAGGCCUAACACAUGCAAGUCGAACGAGUGGCGGACGGGUGAGUAAUGUCUGGGAAACUGCCUGAUGGAGGGGGAUAACUACUGGAAACGGUAGCUAAUACCGCAUACUAUCAGAUGACCCUAGGUCGGAUUAGCUAGUUGGUGGGGUAACGGCCAACCAAGGCGACGAUCCGUAACUGGUCUGAGAGGAUGAUCAGCCACACUGGAACGGAGACACGGCCCAGACUCCUACGGGAGGCAGCAGUGGGGAAUAUUGGACAAUGGGCGAAAGCCUGAUCCAGCCAUGCCGCGUGUGUGAAGAAGGUCUUCGGAUUGUAAAGCACUUUAAGUUGGGAGGCGUUACCAACAGAAGAAGCACCGGCUAACUUCGUGCCAGCAGCCGCGGUAAUAC